rnacentral:rRNA from 1 species
AGUGAACGCUGGCGGUAGGCCUAACACAUGCAAGUCGAACGGCAGCACAGUAAGAGCUUGCUCUUACGGGUGGCGAGUGGCGGACGGGUGAGGAAUACAUCGGAAUCUACUUUUUCGUGGGGGAUAACGUAGGGAAACUUACGCUAAUACCGCAUACGACCUACGGGUGAAAGCAGGGGAUCUUCGGACCUUGCGCGAUUGAAUGAGCCGAUGUCGGAUUAGCUAGUUGGCGGGGUAAAGGCCCACCAAGGCGACGAUCCGUAGCUGGUCUGAGAGGAUGAUCAGCCACACUGGAACUGAGACACGGUCCAGACUCCUACGGGAGGCAGCAGUGGGGAAUAUUGGACAAAGGGCGCAAGCCUGAUCCAGCCAUACCGCGUGGGUGAAGAAGGCCUUCGGGUUGUAAAUCCCUUUUGUUGGGAAAGAAAAGCAGCAGGUUAAUACCCCGCUGUUCUGACGGUACCCAAAGAAUAAGCACCGGCUAACUUCGUG